rnacentral:tRNA from 1 species
AAGGUGCCGGGGCUUCUCCCGUUUUUUUUUGACGGGAGAAG